rnacentral:misc_RNA from 1 species
CAACCCUCAAGCAAUGCUUGGUAUUGGGCCCCGCUGCUCACCUAGCGGGCCUUAAAAUCAGUGGCGGUGCCGUCGGGCCCUGAGCGCAGUAAAUAUCCUCGCUACAGGGACUCGGUGGACGCUGGCCAUCAACCCAGACUCCUCUAAGU